rnacentral:rRNA from 1 species
UGAAUACGAGACGCUAAGGCGUCGAAGUAGUGUAUGUCAUACUUCCAAGAAAAGCUUGCACUGUCAUAAGUAAAAAAUGCCUGUACCAUAACCGACACAGGUGGGUAGGUAGAGUAUACUAAGGGGCGCGAGAUAACUCUCUCUAAGGAACUCGGCAAAAUAACUCCGUAACUUCGGGAGAAGGAGUACCUUAUUCUAUAAGGUUGCAAUAACAAGACCCAAGCAACUGUUUAUCAAAAACACAGGUCUCCGCUAAGUCGUAAGACGAUGUAUGGGGGCUGACGCCUGCCCAGUGCCAGAAGGUUAAAGAAGUCGGUUAGCAUUAGCGAAGCUGGUAACUGAAGCCCUGGUGAACGGCGGCCGUAACUAUAACGGUCCUAAGGUAGCGAAAUUCCUUGUCGGGUAAGUUCCGACCCGCACGAAAGGCGUAAUGAUUUGGAUACUGUCUCGGAGAGGGGCUCGGUGAAAUAGACUUGUCUGUGAAGAUGCGGACUACCUGCACCAGGACAGAAAGACCCUAUGAAGCUUUACUGUAACUUGAAAUUGAAAUUGGACUUUAUUCGCGCAGUAUAGGUGGGAGGUGUUGAUUAUAAUCUUGCGGGAUUAUUGGAGCCAUCAGUGAGAUACCACUCUUGUAAUGUUAGAUUUCUAACUUUGAAUCAUUAUCUGGUCAAAGGACAGUUUCAGGCGGGCAGUUUGACUGGGGCGGUCGCCUCCCAAACGGUAACGGAGGCGUACAAAGGUUUCCUCUGAACGGGUAGAAAUCGUAUCUAGAGUGUAAAGGCAUAAGGAAGCUUGACUGUGAGACCUACAAGUCGAACAGGGACGAAAGUCGGUCUUAGUGAUCUGACGGUACUGAGUGGAAAGGCCGUCACUCAACGGAUAAAAGUUACUCUAGGAUAACAGGCUGAUCUCCCCCAAGAGUUCACAUCGACGGGGAGGUUUGGCACCUCGAUGUCGGCUCAUCGCAUCCUGGGGCGGUAGUACGUCCCAAGGGUUGGGCUGUUCGCCCAUGAAAGCGGUACGCGAGCUGGGUUCAGAACGUCGUGAGACAGUUCGGUCCAUAUCCGGUGUAGGCGUUAGAAUAUUGAGAGGAGCCUUCUUUAGUACGAGAGGACCGAGAAGGACAUACCUCUGGUGUACCAGUUAUCGUGCCAACGGUAAACGCUGGGUAGCUAUGUAUGGAGUGGAUAACCGCUGAAAGCAUCUAAGUGGGAAGCCCACCUCAAGAUAAG